GAACCCCUUCAUCUGCUGCAACAGCUGCUGCUGUUGCUGCAGGCUCAUCUGCUGCGGGUUCAACGGAGCCUUUUGGUCUUUUCCGCCGGUUUCACCACCUCCGCCGCCCUUCUGUGGCUUACCGCCACCACCCUUCUGUUGAUUCUUUCCAUUAUCAAGUUGAAGCUUCUGGAACUGACCAUUGAGAUUACCGUUGUUGUUGCCGCCGGCACCUUUGCUGGACAGCAACUCGGCAUGCUUGCCGGACUUGGCGAGCUUUUUUAUUAGGGUGGCUGGUUCCACGUUGCCGGUGACGGUCACCUUCCCUUGCUCUGCAUCUAUGCUUGUUGUGUACACCCCAUCAAUCUUUUGGAGUAGCUUCUUCACCUUCUUCUUGCAUCCAUCACAGUGGAUGUGAACUUUGAGAACACAUGUCUGUAUCUUGAGGAAAUUGAUGUCUGUGUCUUUACUCAUGGCUGCAGAUCAAGUUGAGUAACAGAAUAAGAUCUGGGUUGAGGGAGCUAUGUAGCAGGGUUUGUUACAGGGAGCCAGAGGUGGAGGAAAAUAGGGGUAGUGGAGAUUAGAAGCAAAGGCCACUGCUUCUGGGUUGCUCACAAAAUGAAGGGAUGUCAGGUUGAGAAUGAAAAUAUAGGCUGUCGGUGGACAUUAUAAUAGCUCUUUACAAAGCCAUUAGGGGAGUCGGUG
rnacentral:misc_RNA from 1 species